rnacentral:rRNA from 1 species
UACGUAGGGGGCAAGCGUUGUCCGGAUUUAUUGGGCGUAAAGAGCGUGUAGGCGGCCUGAAAGGUCAGCUGUGAAAACUCGAGGCUCAACCUCGAGACGUCGGUUGAAACCAUCUGGCUAGAGUCCGGAAGAGGAGUGUGGAAUUCCCGGUGUAGCGGUGAAAUUCGUAGAUAUCAAGCGGAACACCGGUGGCGAAAGCGGCGCACUGGACCACAACUGACGCUGAGGCGCGAAAGCUAGGGGAGCAAACAGG